rnacentral:lncRNA from 1 species
UUGACGUCUUCUCUUUGCAACAUUAUGCAGUUAAUUUUUGCCAUAACAAUGGGAGGCAAUUUGAAAUUAAUUAAUUUGGAAGCAACCGGAACAACAAAUUAUCUGCAGUGGUAUCCCUUCAAGAUUUGGUUGGUUUGCUCAUCAUAUUGGUAGACAUUAGAACGUAACUUUCUACAAUUAAUUAUGGUUAUACAAUAAAUGAGAGAGAAUUAAUGUGCAGUUUGGUUAUACUGAAACAGCCCAAGUCUACAAGGGUGUGGUCUUUCCUGGAUUAUAUUCUUGAUUUGCCGUUUCGUCUCCGGCUUGUAACACCAUGCAGUUAAUUUUCAACCCAUCAGCGAAAGCAACUGGAUAUUUAUUUGAAUUCCACCGUAAUAAGAAUUUCUCUGCUACAGUAUUCCUCCUGGAGUUGGUUUACUUUUCACAUCUGUAAACUUUGGAAUGUUACGUUUUAUAAUUAAUUAAGAUCGACGUUGGAGAAGACAAAG